rnacentral:rRNA from 1 species
UACGUAGGGGGCGAGCGUUGUCCGGAGUUACUGGGCGUAAAGGGCGUGCAGGCGGUGCGGUAAGUUUAGAGUGACAGUAUCCGGCUUAACUGGAUAAGGCCUCUGAAAACUGCCGGACUUGAGGGCCAGAGAGGGACAUAGAAUUCCGGGUGGAGUGGUGAAAUGCGUAGAUAUCCGGAGGAAUACCAAAGGCGAAGGCAGUGUCCUGGCUGGCAACUGACGCUGAGGCGCGAAAGCUAGGGGGAGCGAACAGG